UGAAGAAGGCUGAGUGCCAAAGAAUUGAUGCUUUUGAACUGUGGUGUUGGAGAAGACUCUUGAGAGUCCCUUGGACUGCAAGGAGAUCCAACCAGUCCAUCCUAAAGGAGAUCAGUCCUGGGUGUUCACUGGAAGGACUGAUGCUGAAGCUAAAGCUCCAGUAUUUUGGCCACCCGAUGCAAAGAGCUGACUCAUUUGAAAAGACUCUGAUGGUGGGAAAGAUUGAGGGUGGGAAGAGAAGGGGACGACAGAGGAUGAGACGGUUGGAUGGCAUCACCGAUUCAAUGGACAUGAAUCUGAGCAAACAUAAGGAGAUGAUGAAGGACAGGGAAGCCUGGCGUGCUGCAGUUCAUGGGGUUGGACACGACUUGGCAGCUGAACAACAACAACAGACCUCAAGAAGGAAGCUUUCUCUCUCUUUUUUUUCCAUCAGAUGUAACAUGUUCUCUCACUUCCCAACCGCUUUCUCAACUCUCUCCACCCUGCGGAGAGUUAUGGGGUAAGAAGAGGAAUGAGGAGACAAACAAGCUGCGAUACAAAUCUAACAGAUUAAUAAAAGAAAGAAGGCAAGCGUCCUGUUUAGAAGGAUGCAGCCACCAGCCAGGGCAAGAAGCCGAGGGUGAAGGGCCAUCAACGCCACACCCAGAGCUUAUAAAGCUCCCGCAGCCGGAGGGCUCCGUGCUGGUACUAGGGACGCAAGGAUUUGCGGUGUCUGUCGUCUAAAGCCUUUCACCAGACUGCGGAUUCAGUGAGAAGAGCACUAAGGAGAUUGGAGUCUAGACCAUGAAGGAGUUUUAUAACCUCGGACAGCUCUGGUGUUGGAGAAGACUCUUGAGAGUCCCUUGGACUGCAAGGAGAUCCAACCAGUCCAUCCUAAAGGAGAUCAGUCCUGAAUAUUCAUUGGAAGGACUAUGCUGAUGCUGAAACUCCAAUACUUUGACCACCUGAUGUGAAGAACUGACUCGUUGGAAAAGACCCUGAUGCUGAUGACUGAGUGACUGAACUGAACUCCUUAUUUCAAGGAGGAAAAAUAUACACCUGCAACCUCUGAAUUUCCCCUUUUCCUCACCUGGGUUCAUUCUCAUUUCCUGCCUCAAGACAAUUUCGUAUAUUCUGAGAGCACUUAGUUACAUUUGAGUCAGUUAG